rnacentral:misc_RNA from 1 species
CGUAUCGUGCCAUUUUAACCUCUGCAUUGGAAUUCUUACAAAAAAAUCAAAUGUACAAAGAAACAAAUUGUGUUAAAAUGAAAACAAGCAAAAACAUGGUAUUUGUUUGAUCUCCAUGCCUGUACCUCCAAAGGCAUUAUAAAAUUUUCUCAGAUAUUUGUAUUUGUUUGUCUAUUUAUGUACAAAUUGUCUGCAUUAUUAUAACAGUGGUUUUUCAACCAAUGUUAGUUAUACGGAUAGAAGAUACACAUCCUGUGAUUUUCAUGGAAUUAUAAUUUAAGAAUUUUUGGAAUAAGAAAAAUUCAUUAAAUUACUAAAGUGUUGUGAGCGACCAAAUACAAUAAUCAAAAACGAAAUCGUUUAAAUUUGUUGAUGAAAAAUCAAAUUAGAGGAGGAGGGGAAGGAAAACAACAAAGAUGGAUUUACUUCUACUCCUGUUAUCUUUAAUUUUAAUCUGUGUAAAUGCACUUAAAAUGUCCAGUGAAAAAAAAGAGUGUCCUGUAGCUGAUUGCAAACAAGCAUGGAGAAACUUUCGAACAGAUAUUGAAUAUAAAGAAAAUACCCAUAGUUUUAAUCCAAGUAACGCUACCUAUCUAGGAAAUCGCGUAAACAUGAGUGGUGCUAAUCUAAGUAAUUUUAUGUACCUUGGUCCUAGCAAUCUAUCCCAUAAGCUCUCGUGGCUAACUGAAGACCUCCUUAAAAAUGAUGAAGCGGAAUAUAUUACCGCAUUAGAUCUGAGCUAUACGUAUAUCAGUACUAUAUAUAAUGAUGUUUUUGCCCAAUUCCCUUGUUUGACUGAUUUAUAUUUGUACGGAAAUAACCUUACUAAACUCCAUGAAAAAUUGUUUACCGGCUUGGACAAUCUCAAAGUUUUGAAUUUAAGUAGUAAUAGAAUUGCGUCUAUCAACAAUUCAGAGACAUUUAGGCCUUUAAAUAAAUUAGAAAUUUUAGAUUUGUCUAAAAAUAAUUUGAUAAAAUUGAGACUUGAGAUGCUCCUUUAUUUAGGAAAUCUAAGACAGAUAUUUUUAAAGAGCAACAAAAUUAAUGAAAUAGUCCCAUUCAAUCCGAUCCCAGAUGAUUCUGAGAAGUCUAGGGUCUAUCAUAUUACUUAUCAAUUGAGAGAUCUUAAUUUAGAGUACAACCGCCUGGAAAGAAUCGACAUGGCAACAUUUUUCAGAUUUCACUUGUUAAAGCGGAUUAGUUUGAUUCGAAACAAUAUCUGUGACUUAAUUUUUUACGAUGGCAUUACCUUUCCCCAUGUAAUCUAUCUGAAUAUAACUCACAAUAGUUUACCUGGUUUUGAUGCAGAAGGCUUUAGAAAGACGUUUGAAAAUAAAGAUGUAUUGGUGGAUUUUAACGACAAUCCGAUUCUUUGUGCCUCUAGACAAAUCUUGUUACCGGCUCUGAAGAGGUUAGAUGUACGUAUACGAGAAUUUGAGGUAACUUCACGCCCGUAUAUGUUAUGUAAAAUUACAUAUGGGGAAAAUAAUACUCUUCAGUAUUUGAUGAAUGGAACCUACCAUAUUCCGCGUUCGGCGCAACUUCAGUUGUUUUCUACUGAUAUUACUAGGAGACUAAACAGACCGUAUAUCUCUGUAGAAAAUGGUAUUUUUUUGACAGCAGUUAUUUUUAUUAUCUUUGGUAUAACAUUUACAUUUUAUAUUUUAAGUGGCCAUAACAUUCCAAAGUGGUGCAAGCCCAAACCUGUCGUGAAAAUCCGAGGAGAUUUGUUAUUAGACUUAUGUCCCGAAGUUUUGCGGCCUCGUAGAUUAAAUGACCGGUCACGUAGAUUAAAUGACCGAUUAGGUCACGAUGACGUGCCAAUAUAAAAAAUUAUAUCAUUACUUUUUAACUUAUUACUAAUCCAAUUAAUUAAAAUAAUUUUCGAUUACUGAUGCGUUUUCGCGCAAUUCCUAUGUACAGUAAGUCUCCGAAUUGUCUUUAUAAGAAGAAAAACUUUUUUAUUAUUGACAAUUUCAGAAAAAUACUAAUUAAGGAAAACAUGAAAAUAUUGCUGAAUUUUUUCAAGUCCUAAAAGUCAAAACGCGUUUCUGUGGUAAUAUUUCUCCCAAUUUUUAUAAAAAAUAAUUAUCUUGAUUAAUUAAUUACUUAUGCUAUUCUUAUUUUAUUAAUUUGUCAAAUUUUGCCUACCCUGGCUUGAUUUGCACUGCAUGCCAAUGCCACAUUAACUGUCGUAAGACAAGUGCGUUGUUUUUCUUCUACUCAAAUUUUUAAUAAAUUUUAUAAUCAUAUAGAUAAUUAAUCCAAGUGUUUUAAACUCAUUAUUACAAAUAACCUGAAGUAGCAACACGCUUAAAUCCAUAUAUUUAACAUUAUUUAUGCUUUAAAAAGUAUUUUGAUUCUAUUUUGGUAUUGGUACAAGAAAAUAAUGAGCUAUUAUUAUAGAGAUUUCUUUCAAUUGGGUUUUUUGUUGACGUGUUAGUGAUUGUUUUUUACUUUAUUUAGGGUCAUAAUAAAACCCUUCAGAGUUUAGAUAUAUCCGUGAAUAUUGUGUACAUCGAUGAUGUUUCCUUUAAUUACCUGGUUAGUUUAAAGAGACUAGUUAGGUUAUAACUAUCUAACGUAUAUUUACCGAAACUAUAUUUUUCUUCAUUUGUCAAAAGUUUAAAUUUUUCAAGCAACUAUGUAUAUGGUUGCAUUUUGAUUUGAGGUAGGCAUAUUCGAGUUCGCUUUUUUGGGACUACUCCUUUGAAUUUUACAGGUUAUGAGGAUUUGAUUGAUUUUUUAUUUACCGAAACUAUAUUUUUCUUUAUUUGUCAAAAGUUUAAAUUUUUCAAGCAACUAUGUAUAUGGUUGCAUUUUGAUUUGAGGUAGGCAUAUUCGAGUUCGCUUUUUUGGGACUACUCCUUUGAAUUUUACAGGUUAUGAGGAUUUGGCAGAGAGGUUUAGGGAUAUUAGGUGCAGGUAUAUGGAUAUGACUUGGAUAUGACUGAGGAGGAAGUUAGACCUCUUAAUCCAACUUCACUAGAAGGUAUAUUAUAAUCGUAUUACCAUUAUUAUGACUCUAUUUAUUGUUGCGACUGUAAUAUUCACUUAUAUUCUAAUAUAUUGUGAUCAUCUCUUCCUCAUUUGAGAACCAGCACUGUCACGAGAGAAUAAUUAGGUUUAUUAUUUUCGUUGCAUACAAAAAAUAUUCGUGAAUAUUUUUAGUAGUGAGAAAAUCUUAAAUGAUAUAUUAGCUUUGUUCGGAAUCGGUGAAAAGAAAAACCCGAAGUAAGCUAUUUAUUUUGAAAGAAUAUCAGUUGACAAAAUAUGCACAUUACGCCGAGGAUUUGACAAAAUAUACCUUUGAUUGCACCCUUAGCUUUGUUUUAUUUUUUAUUCAAUAGAUACGGAAUAAACUAAAUUAACGAUUAUAAUUAAUGUUAAUAAAUAAUAUUAAUAUAAUAAACGUUCUUAUUUACUAAUAUAUUAUUAUGACUGUUAGCUAGAAAUAUAUCUACAAAUUAAAAUAGUAAAUUUGUAGACAUACUGUAGCAUAAUUAAAAUAUUAUAUUUUAUAGACUAAUACGUUUUUUUGUAAAUGUAUUUUAUUUUUAUACAAAUUCUU